GAUGAACGCUAGCGGCAGGCUUAACACAUGCAAGUCGAGGGGUAGGGUAGCAAUACCUGAGACCGGCGCACGGGUGCGUAACGCGUAUGCAAUCUACCUUUUACAGGGGGAUAGCCCAGAGAAAUUUGGAUUAAUACCCCAUAGUAUAUAUCAUUCGCAUGUUUGAUAUAUUAAAGUUCCAACGGUAAAAGAUGAGCAUGCGUCCCAUUAGCUAGAUGGUAAGGUAACGGCUUACCAUGGCAACGACGGGUAGGGGUCCUGAGAGGGAGAUCCCCCACACUGGUACUGGGACACGGACCAGACUCCUACGGGAGGCAGCAGUGAGGAAUAUUGGACAAUGGGCGCAAGCCUGAUCCAGCCAUGCCGCGUGGAGGAAGACGGUCCUAUGGAUUGGAAACUGCUUUUAUACGGGAAGAAACCCUGCUACGUGUAGCAGCUUGACGGUACCGUAAGAAUAAGCAUCGGCUAACUCCGUGCCAGCAGCCGCCGUAAAAC
rnacentral:rRNA from 1 species